rnacentral:rRNA from 1 species
GACGAACGCUGGCGGCGUGCCUAAUACAUGCAAGUAGAACGCUGAAGGAGGAGCUUGCUUCUCUGGAUGAGUUGCGAACGGGUGAGUAACGCGUAGGUAACCUGCCUGGUAGCGGGGGAUAACUAUUGGAAACGAUAGCUAAUACCGCAUAAUAGUAGAUGUUGCAUGACAUUUGCUUAAAAGGUGCAAUUGCAUCACUACCAGAUGGACCUGCGUUGUAUUAGCUAGUUGGUGAGGUAACGGCUCACCAAGGCGACGAUACAUAGCCGACCUGAGAGGGGGAGCGGCCACACUGGGACUGUGACACGCCCCAGUCUCCUACGGGAGGCAGCAGUAGGGAAUCUUCGGCAAUGGGCGGAAGUCUGACCGAGCAACGCCGCGUGAGUGAAGAAGGUUGUCGGAUCGUAAAGCUCUGUUGUAAGGGAAGAACGAGUGUGAGAGUGGAAAGUUCACACUGUGACGGUAUCUUACCAGAAAGGGACGGCUAACUACGUG